GACGAACGCUGGCGGCGUGCUUAACACAUGCAAGUCGAACGGAAAGGCCCCGUUGUGGGGUGCUCGAGUCGCGAACGGGGGGGUAACACGCGAGUAACCUACCCUUUACUUUGGGAUAACUUCAGGAAACUGGGGCUAAUACCGCAUACGAGCUCCUGCUGCAUGGGGGGGGUCGGAAAGUUUCGGCGGUUGGGGAUGGACUCGGGGCUUAUCAGCUUGUUGGUGGGGUAGUGGCUACCCAAGCGUUGGUCGGGUAGUCGGCCUGAGAGGGUGACCGGCGACAUGAGGACUGAGAUACGGCCCAGACUCCUACGGGAGGCAGCAGUGGGGAAUAUUGCACAAUGGGCGGAAGCCUGAUGCAGCAACGCCGCGUGCGGGAUGACGGCCUUCGGGUUGUAAACCGCUUUCGCCUGUGACGAAGCGUGAGUGACGGUAAUGGGUAAAGAAGCACCGGCUAACUACGUG
rnacentral:rRNA from 1 species